rfam:Phaeobacter inhibens DSM 17395, complete genome.
GCAGAGGGCUGGAUGGCCGCGGGGGGCCGCAAGGCGUCGCGAGGAAAGUCCGGACUCUACAAAACGACGGUGCCGGGUAACGCCCGGGCAGAGCGAUCUGACGGAGAGCGCCACAGAAAACAGACCGCCCGCGUGCGCCUGCCUGUCAGGUGAUCCCAUGCGGGUAAGGGUGAAACGGUGGGGUAAGAGCCCACCGCACCGCUGGCAACAGGGGUGGCACGGCAAGCCCCACCGGGAGCAAUGCCAAAUAGGACCCCCGCGCGGGCCGGUCGGCGCAAGCCGAUACCGCCGCUAGGCAUGUUUUGGCCAAGAGGGGUCGGGUUGGCAGCUGGAGGUGCGCAGCAAUGUGCAUCCUAGAUGAAUGGUCGUCGAAGGGGCCUUGGCCCCGGAACAAAAUCCGGCUUAUAGGCCCUCUGCGCAA